rnacentral:rRNA from 1 species
GGGCCAGUAGGUUGGUCGUGCCACCGGUACGUACUGGUCUCACUGAUUCCUCCUUCCUGAAGAACCGUAAUGCCAUUAAUUUGGUGUUGCGGGGAAACAGGACUGUUACUUUGAAAAAAUUAGAGUGUUUAAAGCAAGCUAACGCUUGAAUACAUUAGCAUGGAAUAACGAAAUAGGACGAUCGAUCCUAUUUUGUUGGUUUCUAGGAUUGACGUA